UACAGAGGCCUCGAGCGUUAGGCGGAAUCACUGGGCUUAAAGCGUGUGUAGGUGGAUGCCUAAGUACCUUGUGAAAUCCCACGGCUUAACCGUGGAAUUGCUUGGUAUACUGGGCGUCUUGAGCCACUCAGGGGCGAGCGGAACAAACGGUGGAGCGGUGAAAUGCGUAGAUAUCGUUUGGAACGCCAAUGGUGAAAACAGCUCGCUGGGGGUGUGCUGACACUGAGACACGAAAGCCAGGGGAGCAAACGGG
rnacentral:rRNA from 1 species